rnacentral:rRNA from 1 species
UACAGAGGGGGCAAGCGUUGUUCGGAAUUACUGGGCGUAAAGGGCGCGUAGGCGGCCUGCUAAGUCGAACGUGAAAUCCCCGGGCUCAACCCGGGAACUGCGUCCGAUACUGACAGGCUUGAAUCCGGGAGAGGGAUGUGGAAUUCCAGGUGUAGCGGUGAAAUGCGUAGAUAUCUGGAGGAACACCGGUGGCGAAGGCGGCACCCUGGACCGGCAUUGACGCUGAGGCGCGAAAGCCAGGGGAGCAAACGGG